rnacentral:ncRNA from 2 species
CCUCCUAAAUUGAAGCAUAUUAAUAAGGGGAGGAAAAGAAACUAACAAGGAUUUCCUGAGAAGCUGCGAUCAAAACGAGGAGAGCUCAUCCCACAGGGAGCGAUACACUGUGUGUAUCUGUCCGGUUCCGUGUUCGUUAUCUGCGGUAACAGGCCGAUGGUUCAACUUCAACCGGAAUGAGGCUUUUACUCUCAAAGAGAGUGAUAGGCCCGUCGAAUGGCGGCGCACCGAUAGUAGACGAUCCUUCCAUGGAGUCGUAUUGCUUGACAGUGCAGAACAAAGUGGGAAGUAAACUCCUUCUAAAGCUAAAUAUCACCACAAGACCGAUAGCGAACAAGUGCCGUGAGGGAAAGUUAAAAAGCACUUGGAAUAAAGAGUCAAAAUGUAGGUACGUGAAAUUGCCUAGGGCUCAAUACCGUUGAGCUCGAUUAUCCAAGCGGAGACAUUUACCUGCGGUUGGCCGGCGACGCCAGGCCGAAAAAGCUUUCGCGCCGCAAGGCGCCAGGUCGCCCGACAACUGUCGUCUGGUGUUGGUACAUUCUAGCCCAACGAGAAUCGUGUUGCCACACAA